rnacentral:rRNA from 1 species
GACGAACGCUGGCGGCGUGCUUAACACAUGCAAGUCGAACGAAGUGGCGAACGGGUGAGUAACGCGUAAUCAACCUGCUCUUCAGAGGAGGACAACAGUUGGAAACGACUGCUAAUCCCGCAUACUGAAGUAGGGGAUUGCGUCGGAUUAGCGGGUUGGAGGGGUAACGGCCCACCAAGGCGAUGCUCAGUAGCCGGUCUGGGGUGAUGAACGGCCACAUGGGGACUUGGACACGGCCCAGACUCCUACGGGAGGCAGCAGUUGGGAAUCUUCCGCAAUGGACGAAAGGCUGACGGAGCAACGCCGCGGGAGGUAUGACGGCCUUCGGGUUGGAAAGCUCUGUUAAUCGGGACGCGGUACCUGAAUAGAAAGCCACGGCUAACUACGUGCCAGCAGCCGCGGUAAUAC